ACGGAAGGCUGGAUGGCUGCGGUUCUUAAUUGGGCCGAGGAAAGUCCGGACUCCAUGAAGCAACGGUGCCGGGUAACGCCCGGCCAGGGUAACCUGAGGGAUAGCGCCACAGAGAAGAAACCGCUUUUGUUUCGACUUAAGUAAGGGUGAAACGGUGCGGUAAGAGCGCACCGCGGGACGGGUAACCGGACCGGCACGGCAAGCCCCACCGGGAGCAAUGCCAAAUAGGGAUGCUGCGCGCGUGUGAUCGAGCAAUCGAUAUCCGCGCAGGGAAGCUUUAGCCUGAGGCAUCCGGGUUGGCAGCUAGAGGCGCUGGGGUAAUCCAGUGCUAAGAUGAAUGGUCAUCUAUUUGCGGCUCGAGAGGGCCGCAUUGGACAAAAUCCGGCUUAUAGGCCCUCCGUACGC
rnacentral:RNase_P_RNA from 2 species